rnacentral:rRNA from 1 species
GGGAUAUUGCACAAUGGGGGGAACCCUGAUGCAGCGACGCCGCGUGGGCGAUGGAGUACUUCGGUAUGUAAAGCCCUAUCAGCAGGGAAGAAAAUGACGGUACCUGACUAAGAAGCCCCGGCUAAAUACGUGCCAGCAGCCGCGGUAAUACGUAUGGGGCAAGCGUUAUCCGGAUUUAUUGGGUUUAAAGGGUGCGUAGGCGGGCUGUUAAGUCAGCGGUCAAAUGUCGGGGCUCAACCCCGGCCUGCCGUUGAAACUGGCGGCCUCGAGUGGGCGAGAAGUAUGCGGAAUGCGUGGUGUAGCGGUGAAAUGCAUAGAUAUCACGCAGAACUCCGAUUGCGAAGGCAGCAUACCGGCGCCCUACUGACGCUGAGGCACGAAAGCGUGGGUAUCGAACAG